UUGGAGGGCAAGUCUGGUGCCAGCAGCCGCGGUAAUUCCAGCUCCAAUAGCGUAUAUUAGAGUUGUUGCAGUUAAAAAGCUCGUAGUUGAAUUUCGGGAUUGACACAUCGGUCGUGCCUUAAGGGGUAUGAACUGGUGUAGUCAAUUUCUCACCUUCUGGAGAACCGCGAUGCCCUUAAUUGGGUGUCGCGGGGAACCAGGACCUUUACUUUGAAAAAAUUAGAGUGUUUAAAGCAGGCAUUUUGCUUGAAUACAUUAGCAUGGAAUAAUAAAAUAGGACGGCAUGAUUCUAUUUUGUUGGUUUCUAGGAUCACCGUAAUGAUUAAUAGGGAUAGUUGGGGGCAUUAGUAUUCAAUUGUCAGAGGUGAAAUUUUUGGAUUUAUUGAAGACUAACUACUGCGAAAGCAUUUGCCAAGGAUGUUUUCAUUAAUCAAGAACGAAAGUUAGGGGAUCGAAGACGAUCAGAUACCGUCGUAGUCUUAACCAUAAACUAUGCCGACUAGGAAUCAGACGAUGUUAAUUUUUUAAUGACUCGUUUGGCACCUUACGGGAAACCAAAGUGUUUGGGUUC
rnacentral:rRNA from 1 species